CGGACGGGUGAGUAAUGCUUGGGGAUCUGUCUUAUGGAGGGGGAUAACGACGGGAAACUGUCGCUAAUACCGCGUAGAGUCGGGAGACGAAAGUGCGGGACCUUAGGGCCGCAUGCCAUGAGAUGAGCCCAAGUGUGAUUAGGUAGUUGGUGGGGUAAAGGCCUACCAAGCCGACGAUCGCUAGCUGGUCUGAGAGGAUGGCCAGCCACACCGGGACUGAGACACGGCCCGGACUCCUACGGGAGGCAGCAGUGGGGAAUAUUGCGCAAUGGGGGCAACCCUGACGCAGCCAUGCCGCGUGAAUGAAGAAGGCCUUCGGGUUGUAAAGUUCUUUCGGUGAUGAGGAAGGUUGGUGUGUUAAUAGCAUGCCAACUUGACGUUAAAUACAGAAGAAGCACCGGCUAACUCCGUGCCAGCAGCCGCGGUAAUACGGGGGGUGCUAGCGUUAAUCGGAAUAACUGGGCGUAAAGGGCACGUAGGCGGACCUUUAAGUGAGGUGUGAAAUCCCCGGGCUUAACCUGGGAAUUGCAUUUCAUACUGGGGGUCUGGAGUACUUUAGGGAGGGGUAGAAUUCCACGUGUAGCGGUGAAAUGCGUAGAGAUGUGGAGGAAUACCGAAGGCGAAGGCAGCCCCUUGGGGAUGUACUGACGCUGAUGUGCGAAAGCGUGGGGAGCAAACAGGAUUAGAUACCCUGGUAGUCCACGCUGUAAACGGUGUCGAUUUGGGGAUUGGGGUUUAGCCCUGGUGCCCGAAGCUAACGUGAUAAAUCGACCGCCUGGGGAGUACGGCCGCAAGGUUAAAACUCAAAUGAAUUGACGGGGGCCCGCACAAGCGGUGGAGCAUGUGGUUUAAUUCGAUGCAACGCGAAGAACCUUACCUACUCUUGACAUCCGAAGAAGAACUCAGAGAUGGGUUUGUGCCUUAGGGAGCUUUGAGACAGGUGCUGCAUGGCUGUCGUCAGCUCGUGUUGUGAAAUGUUGGGUUAAGUCCCGCAACGAGCGCAACCCUUAUCCUUUGUUGCCAGCGAUUAGGUCGGGAACUCAAAGGAGACUGCCGGUGAUAAACCGGAGGAAGGUGGGGAUGACGUCAAGUCAUCAUGGCCCUUACGAGUAGGGCUACACACGUGCUACAAUGGCGUAUACAGAGGGUAACCAACCAGCGAUGGGGAGUGAAUCUCAGAAAGUGCGUCUAAGUCAGAUG
rnacentral:rRNA from 1 species